UCUACCAUAAACGCUCAAAUUUUCCGACAUAUGCUAGGGAUUGGAGCACUAAAUAGAAAUGUACCAUCUCUAGAUAUGCUUUUACACAACAAACAAUAAUUUGAAUGCUUAAUAUCUAAUGUGGUUGAUUGGCUAGCUGAGAUUUUAUUUUUCCUUUUUGAAACUGAUAUUACAGGAUACUAAGCUAUAUAUGAAGUUACCUAGAUAGUGAGAUUUAACGCUGAAUUAGUUGUGGUAACUUACGCUUUUUGGUGGUCCUUUUGUAUCAAUGUUUACUGAAGUUUUUUGACUUCCUGCUACAGAAGAUUCUCAGAAAGUGAAUGGCACUGCCCAGUUUGGAGGAGGUGAUAAUGCAGAGUGAGGCUGGUGUAUGGUGGGAACUUCCUUAGGAUUUGAUGCAGGUUUUUGAGUAUGGAACAUUAGGGCUGACUACUUAUUUGUGUGCUAUCUAGAGUUAGGGUUCCAUUGUUUCUCUUUCUCUGUUUUUUGUCAAUUGGCCAUACUUUCCCGUAGAGGAAAACGAAACUCCAUUUGUGCUAUAUUAUGAUUAUGUUUUUAUU